rnacentral:rRNA from 1 species
AAGUAUAUGAGGUGAUUAAUUGGAGGGCAAAUCAAGUGCCAGCAGCCGCGGUAAUACUUGUUCCAAGAGUGUGUAUGAUGAUUGAUGCAGUUAAAAAGUCCGUAGUUUAUUUUUUUAAAAAUUAGGGUUGAUGGGAAAAGAAGGGACACA